UACCAAAGAAGGUGUUGCGAGCUUUUGG
rnacentral:piRNA from 1 species